GACGUAGGGUGCAAGCGUUGUCCGGAUUUAUUGGGCGUAAAGAGCUCGUAGGCGGCUUGUUGCGUCGACUGUGAAAACCCGCGGCUUAACCGCGGGCUUGCAGUUGAUACGGGCAGGCUAGAGUUCGGUAGGGGAGACUGGAAUUCCCGGUGUAGCGGUGAAAUGCGCAGAUAUCGGGAGGAACACCGGUGGCGAAGGCGGUUCUCUGGGCCUUACCUGACGCUGAGGAGCGAAAGCGUGGGGAGCGAACAGG
rnacentral:rRNA from 1 species